UACGAAGGGGGCUAGCGUUGUUCGGAUUUACUGGGCGUAAAGCGCACGUAGGCGGGUCGUUAAGUCAGGGGUGAAAUCCCGGAGCUCAACUCCGGAAUUGCCUUUGAUACUGGCGACCUUGAGGCUGGAAGAGGUUAGUGGAAUUCCCAGUGUAGAGGUGAAAUUCGUAGAUAUUGGGAAGAACACCAGUGGCGAAGGCGGCUAACUGGUCCAGAUCUGACGCUGAGGUGCGAAAGCGUGGGGAGCAAACAGG
rnacentral:rRNA from 1 species